CAACGAAUCUCCAUCGCCUUCUGCGUCAGGUACAGUGUACGGCAUCUACGGAUUUGAACAGAACGGAUCAAAUGGAGGGUCAGCAAAUCUGUGAAUCUGAAGGAGUCGGUUGGUACAAAAUUCGUGAUGAUUAAAGGGCAGCAGCUAGGUUCAUGAUCCACAAACGGGUCAGUUGAUUGGUAGGAGACAAACGAUCGAAUGGUAGGAUGAUCUUUUCUUCUCAUGGUUGUUAGGUUCAGGAUCCGCAAACGGGCCAGGUGAUUGGUACGGGACAAACGGAGGGACAAUGGAUGCUUAUUUGAGCUCACAUCUCUUCAACACUCUUGUGUUUCCACCCAUCCCUGCACUAGUCAUUAAUAAUGUUAUAUACCAGUGGUAUAUUCACCUCCAUCAUUCAUCUUCUGAUAAACUUAUUAAUUUAGUUUCUAUUGACACUUUGAAUAAUAUCUUUAAAUUUAGUCAUUUUGACUCUUUAAAUUGCUAGCUUGCAAAACAAUCGUGCAUUAUCAUUUACUACUUUUGCUUCGUCAUCGUCAUGUGAUCCAUUCACAUUUAGGGUCUGCUUCAUGUACUACUGUCAAUGGUUGUCGAUUCUUUGUUUUAUUUAUUGAUGACUAUUCCUAUUUUACUUGGA